AGGGUUUAGCUUAAUCAAAGCAGUUGGUUUGCAUUCAAUAGAUGUAAGAUGAGGUCUUGCAACCCUUA
rnacentral:tRNA from 1 species